ensembl:snRNA U4 U4 spliceosomal RNA
AUUCUUUCGCAGUAGCAGUAUCGUAGCCUAUGAGGUCUAUCCGAGGCGUGAUUUUUGCUAGUUGAAAACUUUACCCAAU